rnacentral:rRNA from 1 species
UACGUAGGGAGCAAGCGUUAUCCGGAAUUAUUGGGUGUAAAGGGUGCGUAGACGGGACAGCAAGUUAGUUGUGAAAGCCCUCGGCUUAACUGAGGAACUGCAACUAAAACUAUUGUUCUUGAGUGCAGGAGAGGAAAGCGGAAUUCCUAGUGUAGCGGUGAAAUGCGUAGAUAUUAGGAGGAACACCAGUGGCGAAGGCGGCUUUCUGGACUGUAACUGACGUUGAGGCACGAAAGUGUGGGGAGCAA